UUUUCUAAAGUAUAUGUUUAUGUGUACUUAUAUGCUCUUUAGAUAUAAAUGAAAUAUCAAAUAUGAUAUUUGAGCUUAUGUUUUAUAUUUAUUUCUUGAUAUUUAUUUCUUGAUAUGCUCCUAUAAUGCUCUUUAUUCCAUUACUAUAAAUGAAUCAAAGAAGAUAUCAAAUAUGACUUUACUCUGAAGCUAAUAACUUGUAUCUUGAUAUUGCAUAGUUUAUAUAUUACUUUUUGCUUCUUUAUUAAGUAUACUUUUAAUGAAAUAAUAUAUAUGCCUCUUUUAUCUAUGCAUUGCAUCUGGAUUGUUAGGUGUAUCUAUGGAUAUGCCAGUCACUUACUAAGUUUUAUAGCUCACUUUGUUGCUAUAUAAAUUUUUUAGAUUAGCUUACUAUUCAUCCUAAUAUUAGAUUUGGGUUGAACUAAUGAAAUAUUAGAAGAUUAUGAUAAGUAUUUAAUGAUUUGACAUAAUAUUAUUAUAAAAAAAUAUAUUUUACUUGUAAUAUUAUUUUAAAAAAUAUGAAUUAAUAUCCCUCCUAAAGAUUAAAGGAACUCUUUUGAAAGUUUAGAAUAUUAAGUAUGAAGUUUUUGUUAAAUCUUAAAUUUUGAUGAUGAAAUCAAUUGAUGAGUUUACGAUCUAAUCUGCUGUUUGAAAAAAGUGAUGCAUGACUAACUUCGAUCAUGAAAAUGUAAAACAAUUAAAGAAGAAGAAUCAUAAAUCGGGCCAGAGUCAGAGAUCAGGCAUCGAGUCGGAAGUAUCAGACGUUACGCUAAGAUCGGACGUUGUGAGAAUCAACAUUUUGAUGGAUCAAGUGAUACGCCGAAGGUUCGAAUGAUGUGUCGGAGUUCAUUGGGAGUUUGGAUGAACCAAUGAUAUGACAAACAACUUAGAUUCUUGUCUUGUAAUUAUUUAGGUCUUAAUUAUCAUAGUUAGGUAUUAAAUUGAGUUAGAUUUAGGUAUAAUCCUACUAACUCAAUUAGGGGCCCUUUAGGCCUAGGGUUGAGUUGGGCUUAUUAGGAGGCCCGUUUAGUAACCCAAGGUUAGGUCAGGCGGUGGCACCGCCUAUGAGCUGGAAAAGUACGAAAUGUACUUCUUCCGAAAGACCCGACAGUGUUACCGCUAGUAUCAGGUAGUGGUACUGCCAGUUGUGAGCUUGACAGGCAGCGGUACUGCCCAAUAAUGGCGGUGGUACCGUUAGUACCCCGAAAACCUGGUAUGAGACCUUUUUCGACUUUAUUUUUAAAGCUAUUUGGGGUUUAUAAAUACCUUACUCUUUCAUACUUGAGGAAACAAGAAAAGAGAACGAAAACUUAUGUUUUAGAAUGUGAAAACUCUAUUAAAAAGUAGAGUUCUUCCUCCUUAAGCUUAGAGGUUGUUCUAAGGGAGGUUGUGAGGAUUUUCUUUUAAAAGAGGGUUGUAAAGGUUCUCUCAAGCCUGUCAAAAGAAGAAAAAGUUAUAAGAGGGUAGUUUAUCUUUACCCAUUGAAAGAAGAUCGUUAAUGAAUGCUGGUGACCUCGAUGAAAGAGAAAUCGAGAGUGGACAUAGGUCGCGACGAUCGAAUCCCUAUAUACUCGAUUUGCAUUUCUUCUACUCUUUAUUGUUAUUGCUUUGUAAUUUAAUUGCUUAUUACAUUUACUAUAAGUCAAGCAUAAUUUUGAUAUCAAUUUUCAUUUAAUAAAAUUUUCAAACUGAUAUUUUAUUGAAAGAACUAAUUCACUCUCCCUUGUUAGUGCCGAAACAGUCAUAAUAGUUUUCCUUUGAUAUGAACUUUGUGAUAAAUUAUUGAUUUGAUAAUUAUAGUAAUUUUUUCCUCUUGUGUGUUUAUAAGUGAUUGUUAAUGAUUUUUGAGUUGACCUUUGGGUUUUAUAUAGUUGUCGAUUAGUGUGUUGAAUGAUUAUAAAUUAUACAUGUUUUAUAGAUGUGAAUGAAAAUUUAAUGUUUUUGGGUGUUGAUAAUUUUUUUGAUUUAAAAUAGAUUCACACCUUUAAAUAUUAUUUUGAGAGUAUGACAAAUAUAAUAUAUCAUAUACAUAAUGCAAAUUCUUCCUUUGUUCAGCACAAAUUCCAAUCACAAGAGACUCAAAUGGUGCAUCAGAAGUUAUAUCAGCUGUUGGUAUAUUAGCUUAUUAUUUGGCAGCCUCUGAAUUGUCAAUUAAAAAUAAUUAAUCCAUGGUGGCACAGCUCCAAUCAGCUGCAGAACAAAGCCUAGAUUUAAGACUUGCCAUAACUUAUCACCCUUCUAUGUCUCACCUGCUUAUCAUCUAAUCCAAGUCUGUCACCAGCUGAGAAAUUGAUAGUGCAAAGUGAGCUUUUGAAUAUGAAUGUGUCAGUGAAUGUCAAUGCUUAAAGUAAAGCAGAGUUCUGAUGCCAACUUCUUUCUUGUGUGUGUGAUUCAUGUGGUCACCAGCAUCAGCCAAAAGGAGAGGGAGGGGAAGAAGAUUAUAGAUUUGAGACCUUCCCCUUUUCUUUUGAGAGAGAAACCAUACUAAGGUCUAGCAUCAAUCAGUGUCAGCACUUUUGUCCAUGAUUCUGAGGUCAAGACAUGGAUGUGGGUGGCCCUGAAUGGGCCAAACAAGUAAAAUUCUACUUGUUUGUUUGUGUUUGUCAGAUUUAAUUUGUUGGUUUGCAUAAUGAUGACCAUCUUCUUUUCCUAAAAUCUUCAAUGUAAGAAUAGUUAGAAGUCAAACUUAGAAAUACAAUACAGUUCAUCUGCUCUUGACAUGUAUACACAUGAAGUUACAGUGUAAUUUGAUUUUGGGUUAUUGAUCUCCUUCAAACAAAUUUGAGAGUAAUAUUUUAUCUUAUUCUCCGAUCCCGAGUGAGUAAGAUGAGUUUACUAUCAUUAAUUUAAAUUUGAACAUCUUGCAGUAGUCUAGUUCAAAUUUAUUAAAUUAAUACUUUAAUUAUCUUGUUGAGUCGAGUCGUUAGAAUUGAUAUUAGAAUUGACAUAAUAUUAAAUAUGAUAAGAGACAUAAAUAGAAAAUGACACUUCCCACGAUUAGAUUAAAAGACAAUAUGAAUCAUCAUUUAACCGAAACUUAUAUACAUCAUACUAAAAUAUGAUUAUGGGCUAUGUUGGUUUUUGGAUGAAGAUCAACAAUUCUAAAGAAAUUUAUAAGGGUUUGAGCUCAAUAAGUUAAUGAGGUCAAUCAUUCUUUCGAGUAUAUACAUAUUAAUCAUUUGAUCAUUAAUAUUUGCUUGUUAAUCUUUAAAAUUCUAAACAUAGUUUGCGCUAAUUAUUCAUGCUUAACAAUGAUAAACAUCUCAAAAAUAUUUCAAAUUAUGAUAAUAUUUUUAAUAAUAUAAAAUUCAUUAAAAACAUAUAAAAUGGACGACUAUAAGAUUAAAAAUCUCGGAAAUAUAUACAUACAAUCAAUGUAUUUGGAGUAUAAAGCUCAAUGGUACAUGGACAAAAAUUCAGUCUCUCUCUCUCUCUAUCUUUCUCUCUCUAUAUAUAAGGUUUUUAAUUUAACAUAAGAAGAAGAUUUAACAUAUACUUUGAAGAUCAUUAAUCUGCAGAAGAUACUUUUUGAUGCAUAAACUUAGGUUGUAGCAUGGAUGCAAACUAUUUCAACAUUCUAUUAAUAUCCAUUAUAGCCAUCAAAGCUAAUCUUUUGCACAAAUCCAAUUUAUUCUUUUUAAAGUGCUUCUAUGCUGGAAAAGCUCAAAAUGAGUUUGAGUCCAUGAUGUUGACAUCAAUCUCUGCAAAGAAGAAUCACUAAUCACCAUUUUAUGUUUCCUCCAACCUUUGGAAUUUGAACUGAGAAGCCAAGCUAAGCUCCACAGCUUCUGAAGGCAAAGUUUCAGUGGCUGUAGAGUAAACCCCCCAACACCUACAAGGCUACAUAUUAUAUGCCAAGUAUAUAUGUACAGUAUCAGGAAAGAUCAUCUGACAGCCAAUUAAACAAUACAGUAUGAAUACCUUUAACAAUAUUAUAUGAAGACCUGAAAGGCUGUCUCCUGACAGCCUUCCAACACUUAAACAAAUAGCCCCCAUAAGCUCAUUGUGUCAUAUGCAGCCUUUCAGAUACAAGAUAGAGAGAGUUGAAGAGAGGAGGAAACCAGAUAAAAGCUGAGACAGAGACAGUGGAGUGCAUGUGAGCAAUGCUUUGACAGCAUCACUAUACUUUAGGAGUACAGAUACUAGAGGGUGUGAGAUGGAAUGUAAGAACAUUUCACAUAUUCUGUAUCUUAAUUGCCUAAUCAAUGAAGCAAACAAAUGAUUAAGGAUCAUAAACAAUCAUAAGAGCUCAAUAAUCAAUCACUGAUUGGGUAGCUAAGGAGGAACUAAAUAAUGAUAAGUUUGGUUUCAUCUACAAAUUAAUUCUUAAUCCAAGAAUAUGCAAUACACUUAGUCCAUACUUCAUCUCACUUCCUAGCUAGUGAAAGUGAGAGGCUCAAGAAUAACAUAACAUCUGAAGUGACAUGAACCUUAUCAUGUUAAUGUCAGCCUCUAAGUAGUGAGAGAACAGUGACAAGUAGUGAUGUUUUGUGAUCUAGCAUGUUCCAAGGAAAUUAAAGGAUUAGAAUAGAUUAGGUCUUGCAGAACAAGUCAAUCACCACCACAAAAGACACAUCUUCUAACAUUGGGAGUCAAUAUGUGUGCAGAAGGUACCCUCUUGCAACAAAUAGGUCAACCUGGAGAAGAAUUUGGGAUCAGUAUCAAAUGUUAUUAGUAUGUAAUGCCAAUCAAUUCUUUUUUCUUUUCACAACAUAAUGACUUUUUCUAUAAAAAAAUUGAACUAUCGAAAAAAGAUAUAUAUAAAAAAAUUAAACUAUCGAAAAGGGAAUAUAUCUCGAAUGCGUUAAACAUGUCAUCACCAUAAUUCCUUCUGAAUAUUAAAAUCCUCUAUAUAUUUCUGUUCUAAAAAUAAUCAAGAUCAAUAGUUAAUUUAUAUUAAAAAAUAAAAAAUUAUAAAACUUUGCUAGUCUAGGAUUAGCAACUAUGUUAAUAAAAAAUUAAAAGUUAAUUAAAAUAAUUCUUAAUAAAUUAAGAUUUACUUAUUUUAUAAAUACUCUACCAGAAAGUUUUUCAAUAUGCCUAAGAGGAUCAAAAGAAGAAUUCUUAUAUUUAUUUUUCAUAUAAUAAAUAUAUAUAUUUUUAACUUUUCGAAACAUGAGUUUUCUAGUUUGUUCUUUGAUUGUUGAUCUUAGAGAUUUCUCUCUUUUCAGAGUUGACAAUUAAAUUAACUAUAGUGACAAUUAACUUAAUAAUCUUUGCAAUUGUGAACCACCCAUAUUACCAUAAUAAUAAUGGUUUUGGUUUCUUUUUGUGUCCAAAUAAUAGGAUGUGUUAGAGACCUUUUUUUUUCUGUGUUUUGAUCGAUUGCAAGAUGUUAAAAUUUUGCAUGUAUUUAGAAAGAAAAAUAGAUGUGACCAAGCUAUAUAUAUAUACAUAUGUAUAUAUAUACAUAUGUAUAUAUAUAUAUAUAAAUAAAUAAAUGUAUAUGUAUAUGUAUAUGUAUAUAUAUGUAUAUAUACAUAUACAUAUAUAUAGAUAUACAUAUACAUAUUUAUAUACAUAUGUAUAUAUAUAUAUACAUAUAUAUACAUAUAUAUAUAUAUACAUAUAUAUACAUAUACAUAUAUAUAUAUAUAUAUUAUAUCAAUAAUAAGGACAGCAACAAAAUAAUAAUAAAGAAAACAACAGAAGGAAGUGAGGGAAGGUGGAAUAAUUAAAGGCGAGAAAUAAAAACUCCCAUCGACCGACCGAGCGACCUCUCAAACGGCCUACUUUACGCCUUUCCCUUUCCACCGCCCCCCCCACCUCACGAUCUCUUCCUCCUCCUCCUCCUCCUCCUCCGUCGUCGGCUUCUGUCGCCCCACCAAUCGUUGCACGCAUCAAUCGAGGAGCAAGUCCGAGACGUGAGGGUUUCUCCGUGCCCUCCAUUCCUGACCCAGGUUUGGGCGGGGGGUGGUGAGGGGGGCGACGAUGAGGCGACCGGCGAAGCUGGAGGCGGCGCUGUCUCUUGGAAGGAAGCGAACCAUGCAGGGCCUCCUGGCCGCUGCCAUUCUCUACGUGGCGCUCGUCUUCCUCUUCGAGUUCCCCGUCCUCUUCGGCCGGAUCCCCUCCCCAUCCUCCUCCUCCUCCUCCAUCUACGCCGCUGCCGGGCUCCUUGGUGGCGACGGCCUCGGCCUCUCCCUCCACCUUGGCGCCGAGGAUCGGCAUGCCCCCCUCCGCCCCUCCCGGCGCACCCACCUCCUCCGCGGCUCCGCCCUCGGCCCCACCGGCUUCCGCGUCCCGUCUGACCGCCGGCGGUCGAUGACCGUCUCGGGGCUCGAUUUCCGGAUCGUCAAUGCCACCGCCGCCGGCCGCGGGCCGUUCUCCGGUCUCGACAAGGUCGCGAGGGACGCGUGGGAGGUGGGGCGGAAUCUUUUGGAGCAGCUAAAGGCGGCGCCUUUUGCGGCCCCCGCGGUGGCCACGAAGGACGAGAACAGGACGGAGGACGGCUGUCCGCACUCGAUCAUACUUUCCGGGGAGAAGUUCCUUGAGCGGGGGAGGGUAAUGGUGAUACCCUGUGGGCUGACGUUGGGAUCACACAUCACCCUGGUUGCGAAGUCGUACCAGGCCCACCCAGAGUACGACCCCAAGAUCGCGACCUUGAGCGACGGGGAGAAGGAGAUCAUGGUGUCUCAGUUUAUGAUGGAGCUGCAGGGCCUCAAGACGGUGGAUGGGGAAGACCCGCCCAGGAUCCUCCAUUUCAACCCCAGGUUAAAGGGGGAUUGGAGCGGGAGGCCUGUGAUCGAGCAGAACACGUGCUACCGCAUGCAGUGGGGAUCGGCCCAACGGUGUGAAGGUUGGAAGUCCAUGGCCAAUGAGGAAACCGGUGGGUUACCAAAGCUUCCACUUUAAGCUAUUCCCCGUGAUGAGUCAUGAGUAUAUUUGAAAGAAAUACUUAAUCCGGAAAAAGUCAUCAUAUUGUUGUGAAAUGCUAAUUUCUGAUGGAUUCUGCUUUCCUCAAGAGCAUGCUAAACAUCUGAAAUUCCACUUUUUUAUAUGGAAAAAUUAUUAUUCUGAUUUCUUUUUCUUUUUCUGUUGCUGUAAGUUUUGAAUAUCGUGGAAUAUUGGAGGCUCACUAGAUGUACAAGUCUAUGACUUUGAAAUUUCCGAGGAAUUAUUCUUCUAGAAUUUGAUACCGAUAAUAGUUUUUCGGAGAAAAAGAAGUCCUUUUACCAUGAGAGUGUUGAUUUCCAUUCUGAGUACCUUGUGUAUGUUUUACCAAAGUGUUUUGCUAUAAGAAGUGAUCGUUGAUUAAUGAGCUUGCUUUCUGACUGCUAUUUCAGUUGAUGGGCUUCCGAAGUGUGAAAAGUGGAUCCGUGAUGAUGACAACCAGAUGGAGGAGUCAAAGAUGGCAUGGUGGUUGAACCGUUUGAUUGGUCGGACGAAGAAGAUUUCUGUUAAUUGGCCAUAUCCAUUUGCAGAAGACAAGUUGUUUGUCCUCACUCUAAGUGCUGGAUUGGAAGGUUAUCAUGUCAAUGUUGAUGGGAGACAUGUGACCUCUUUUCCUUACCGCACUGUAAGUUCCAGUUGCAAAAGCCCCACAGCUGAUGUGAUCUGGAUUCAACAUUGUGCUGGAGAUGUAACUCUAUGGUUUAUCUCCCAUGUAGGGUUUUGUUCUUGAGGAUGCAACAGGCCUGUGGGUGAAUGGGGAUCUUCAUGUCCAAUCCAUUUUUGCGGGUUCAUUGCCUACAUCUCAUCCUAGCUUUGCUCCACAGAAGAAUCUAGAAAUGUUAGCAGAAUGGCAGGCACUGCCACUUCCUGAUGGACCAGUUGAACUUUUCAUUGGCAUCCUUUCUGCAGGCAACCAUUUUGCAGAACGUAUGGCCGUCAGGAAGGCAUGGAUGCGUACAGUUAGAAAAUCAUCCAAUAUGGUUGCUCGGUUUUUUGUUGCUCUGGUAAAUAAAUUUCAAGCUUUGUGCCCUACAUUUUUCAUUUUUUUUUCUAAAGAUAUGCUAACUAAUGGAUUUUUUGUUCAAAUAGCAUGGAAGAAAGGAAGUGAAUGUUGAGUUGAAGAAAGAGGCAGAGUUCUUUGGUGAUAUUGUCAUAGUGCCUUUUCUGGACAGCUAUGAUCUUGUUGUUCUCAAGACUGUUGCCAUAUGUGAAUAUGGGGUUUGUAUUGACUACAAUGUGUUUUUCCCUGAAUCUUAGUUGCUUGUUCUGCCUUUUCUGGUCCUGGUGAUUGAUUAUUUCUAAUCCCGAAGGUUUCUUUGGUGCUCUCUUUUCUUUCUUGCUCUGACAGGUUCAUACUGUUUCUGCUCGCUAUAUAAUGAAAUGCGAUGAUGAUACCUUCGUUAGAGUUGAUUCUGUAUUGAAUGAAGUGAAGAAAGUCUCCAGUGAUAAAAGCCUAUAUGUGGGUAACAUGAAUUACUACCACAAGCCAUUGCGAGAAGGGAAAUGGGCAGUUACAUAUGAGGUAAUAAAUAUAAGUUUUCCUUGUAGCUAAACACACGUAUGGUGUGACAAAACUUGAGUACAUUGGAAUCCCCUUUUAAUUCUGUAUACAACAUAUUAAUGUCAUACUUUUACACACUUUGCAAGGGUAGAAAUUUUGGCAAUUGAAUCUUGCUUCCUGAAGGUGGAACAAGUCCACUUGUCUUAUCUGCAAUGCUUGAUUGAUGACAGGAACCAGAAUCUUUCAUGGUUGCUGCCACCCUGCUCUGCUUAGAAGAUGUGUUUGUAGAUUAGAUUUUUGUGUCAAAUGCCUCCACGAACAAAAAACCUGCUUUUUUUAACUAUAAAUUAUUAUGCUUUUUUUUUUCGCAAAACUAGAUGUAUUUUGUCAUCAAUUAGAAAGAGAAAAGAAGUCAGAAUUUUGAUUGACUUUCUCAUGAUAAAAGACAUGAGUAUUUUGAAAUCAGAAACAUAUGAUUUCAUGCACCAAGAAAUGUGUAAUGGAAAUCAUAUCCCUGGGUGAAUAUAUUCUUUAUUAUCACAAACAAAAUGAAGCAAUGCAAAAGCUGCAUUUAGAUCUACUAGAAGCAUGCGAAGGUGUAUAUGACAGAAAUCACCACUGCCAAUUUAAGGUUAAAGAUUGGCAAGGAAAACUUUCUGUUCAUGCUUCUUGUGUUAUGACUUGAACCAAAAGAUUGUUUUGUAGUUGAUUGAUAUAUUUAAUUCAAAUAAAAGAUGUUAAGCGAUAUUUAAUGGUGGCGAGAGACAUUCAGUGUAUGACAUGUAUUAAUGUGCAGUUCUUAUAGUUUGAGCUCUGACCUGAUAUAUGCAUCUAAGGUUAGAUACUGUCAGGCCAAUUUAUACACUAUGAUGUGAUAAUGUAGCCUUUCACAAAUUACUCCCUUAUUCUUUCCAUUGACUAUAUCAUUUCGAUAAAUUUUUUUAGCUUUUUGACUGAUCCUAAUAUUUAUAUGCUCAUAAUCAGUGUUCCAAGAAGUUACUUUUAGAAGGUUUUUCCUUAUGAACAGUUAUUACAAAGUGCACCAGGUGCUACUCUAUAUGCACGAGUCUCAAAUGGGGACUUAAAACCAUUGCCUACAGAAGCUUCCUGGAUGAACAACCAUCCAGCUAGCUGGAUGUUGGCUUCUAAGUAGGUUUUGUUGCUGUCUAUGCAUAUGCAGUCAUGCCCUUCAUUUUGUUGUUGCUGCUUAUGCUAGUUGUGGAGUCACAUGCACCAAUAUGGCCUCCUAUGCAUGAAAAAGCAGACGUGUAUUCCUAUGCAACCUCAUCUGGCUGCAUUAGCGAGAAAAUGAGGUUGCAUAUAUGCCGUAUGUUUCCUCAUCCUUGCUAACAUUCUACAGUUGCAUCGUUUUAAAAUUAUACAAUACAUCUUUUCCUAUAUCUUCUGUCUUGUCAUCAAGUUUUGCUCUAGUAUGCAUCUUUCUCUUGCAAUCAUGUACCAUCUCGUGGUCUCAUCAUUUGACACAGAUCUAUACAUAAUUAGUCUUCUUGGGUAUGCGGCACACUUCGCAUCACAAUAAAGUUAUAUUACUAAGAACUAACAUGUUCAUGAUUACUUAAUGUAAUAUCAUCUGGUGAGAUAAGGUAAUGCAUUUAUCGUGCUGAGUAAUUCUGACUCGUGUUACAGGAAUGGCCUGAAGAGGAUUAUCCAGCAUAUGCAAAUGGCCCUGGUUAUGUUGUAUCAUCUGACAUAGCACACUUCAUCAUUUCUGAAUUUGAGAAACAUAAAUUAAGGGUAAGUGUGUUUAUUUUUCUUUCUCACAUGGAUAACAAUUAUAGUUUAGAUUAGUAUUACGAGUAGUAACAUUAUUGGGUCAAGAUGACCUGGGAAUUAGUUGCAACCAUAUUUCUGUACCUGUUUCUUCAGUGAAGCAUGACUUUUCACACACCAUUUUUAAUGAAAAUACUCAAACAAAAUCAUGAUUUUGGCUACAUGCUUUCUAGUUAGUUUACCAGAAUGGAUCUCUGUCUUGCUGCUUCUUUUUGUUGAUAAGGUUUAUUCUUUUUGUUCAUGUAUGAAGAGAAACCAUUGCAAUUGGCAUGUCCUUCUCAAUCGCAUGCUUUUGUUGUCGUAUCAUGAACAAAAACUUUUCUGGCCCCCGUAUAACAUAUGAAGAUUCUUUUUGUCAAAUGAUUGUACGUUAAGAUGUGAGGUUUUUCAAAUUGAUGCAGUUGUUUAAAAUGGAAGACGUGAGCAUGGGUAUGUGGGUUGAGCAGUUCAAUAACUCCAGAGCAGUUGAAUACAUACAUAGUGUCAAGUUCUGUCAGUUUGGAUGCAUAGACGAUUACUACACCGCACAUUACCAGUCCCCGAGGCAAAUGACAUGCUUGUGGGACAAACUGCAAGCAGGGAAGCCUCGGUGCUGUAACAUGAGAUGACGUCAACAUGAUUGAACAAGUCAAAAUUUUAGCAGCUAUACGGCUGCAUUCAUCGCGCAGGCUGGGUUGAUAGUGCUUACAAAUUCGUUUCCUGCCUUUCUUUUCACAUCGGCUGAGAAAGACUAGUGGCCAUGGAAGAGCUACUCUGCUGCCUCUAGAUAUAACUACAAGGAUCAAAACGAUGCAGAUCCUGUUACUCCACGAUCCCUCUGAUGGAGGUUGCAGCGGUUUUAAAAACUCAUAAUGUUCAGAUCUUAUAGCUGCUUCUUGUCUCAGAUUUUGUAAUUUAAUCUCGGUUAAAUCGGAUGAAAUGCCAUGGCAAAGAAUCACCCCUUGUUUCUGUGCAGAAUCAGACAUCGUUUCUGUGCUUAUUGUCUAUACUUGAGAAGAGCAUAUAACCACCGAGUUCAUGGUUGAACUUGCAACUUUUUUGUUGUGAUUUGCUCUUGUGAAUUUCCCAUCACCUUGAUAUUUGGGAGUAUCAGAGCCAUGGAAAUAUGAGUUAUAUUUGCUUUUGCCACAGGCAGUAAAUUCACUACCUGCAAAUUUAAGAUGAAUCAUUAGAUAAUAAACCUCCAUUGUUCACCAAAGCUUUAUUCUUUUCAUGUUCUUUAGCAGUGUGUCAGCUGUCCAUGAUAUUGGAACCAGCUUUGCAAAUUGUUACAGCUUUCCAGUAGUUGUAAUAGAAAUCUAAGAUGUUUGCCAGCUGAGUCGUUGUUCCCAUUAUUGGAUUUUGUAGUUGGCAGAAACUGGUCAAUCUUCUAAAGAGUAGUAUGUUGCUUUUGGGUUGUGCAUUCUGUGCCUACACUGUACCAUUUUGCAUACCAUGACAGGAUUCUUCUACCUUAAAAACUUCAAACUCAAUCAAUGGAGUUUCCACUUGAUGAAAGAAACUUUCCUGUUGAGACUUGAAAGUCUAAUCAAUGGAGUUUCCACAUGGAUUGGACCAGUGUACUUUCAAGAGAGCUUUAUGAACUGCUGUUCUGUUUCCAACACGUUGAUGUGGGUGAUGCUGUUCGAAAGUGCACAAGUUGUUCGUAGGUCUUCAAUCAAAUAGGACUCUUUUUUUUUUCUUUAAAUUCUUGUAUAUUUCUUUCAAAUUUGUUGUUAUCAAAAUAGAGGAGGAAUCCUUUACUGGAUUGGAUUCUCCCUCUCACAUAUUCCUUCAAAUUUCUUUUCCCUUUAACACUGUAUGAGACUCAGAUCCUGCUAUACAAUGAAUACAUUUGAUGAAUCCCAUAUGAGAUGGCAUACUUAUAUUGAUUGUAGAGAAGAGAAUUGCUAAUCUGAUAGAAAUAUUUGGGACCAAAAGGAUCUCUUUUAAUCUAAUACUUCGAAUAUUCUCAUCUCCUUAUCUUUUUCUUUUCUUCCUUUUUCUAUAGAUCAGUCUAUAGAAUAAACAUGUUCCCUAUUUUUUCUAUGGAUCGAUCCAUAAAAUGAGUCUCGAUACUGUGUUUACACUGCAUUAUGUUGUUUUCAAUAAUAAUAUAAAAUAUUAUAACAUAAUAUUUUUGUAAUCUAUUAUAGUGAUAUUGCUAAGAACAUUGUAACACAGUGUAAAAACUAUAAACAUAAUAUUUUAAUGAAAUUUGUAUAUGUACUGCAUUAUAGUGUUUUUCUGAUAUUGUUGAAAACACUAUAAUGCAAUGUGAAAAAAUCAUAAACAUAAUAUUUUUACAAAAUCUAUAUGUGAACUGCAUUACAUUUUUUUGAUAUUGUCAAAAACAUUAUGACACAAUAUAAAAACUAUAAACAUAUUUUUUUACAAAAUUUAUCCAUGUAUUGUAUUAUAGUUUUCCUAAUAUUAUUGAAACUAAAACAUCAUAACAUAUAAAAAUAUUUUAAUUAAAAACUAAGGAAAAAAAUAGAUCGAUAACAAAUUAGACGAAAUAAAGACAUUCUUAAAAAAUAUCUUACAAAGCAUUAAGUUCUUGCAGAACAACAUUGUACUCUGAUAGCGACAAAUGACAACAACACAUCUGCCAAUUCAUUAUUUAGCAACAAAGAACUGCGUUCAGGCUAUACAUGCAUUACACAAAACCUGCUAAGCCAAACCCAAAAUACUGAUUUGCAACUUGGAAUGCUAAACCACAAAUCACCAAUGUUUAUGGAAGUAGCAAACUAUAUACCACUACAUAUAGAACUAGUGCUGCUGGGGAAGGGGUAAUUGUGACAGCCCCCCUUAUCCAUCAAUAUUAGCAUUUGAAGCCAUGGCACACAGACAAAACGAUAAUAAGUACAAGUGCAAUAAUGAUUCCCAAGACGAUUAGCUUAACCUUCAUGUUCUGAAGCCACAUCUUCCUCCUCAUCUGUGUUCCAUGCUGUCUGAAAUCUUGUGCCUGUGAUACCACACAUCGGAAAUCCAUGAGAACUGAAUCCCCGGCAGAGGAAGCUAACAGAUAGUACAUGAAGACGCAUGAAAAGCAUAGCACUCCAUUGUACUAAUACAGCAAGUUUACUAUGACUUUGAGAAGGCAGUGUGUAUAGAUAUGACUUGUAUACCUGUGAGCGAAGGUUUUCUGUCUUGUCGACAAGCAACUCAAUUUUCUCCCCGCGAUCAAGAACCUAGCAAAUCAAGAAAGAUCGAUCAAGGAAACAGCAUCAAGAACAUCCAUCAGCUGUGAAAAAAAACGAGAUCUCUAUCAUUAAAUUUAUUUAUAUAUAGAUGGAAAUGGCUAAGCACCUUCUCAAUGUUCUCCAUCAUAACUCCUUUGACUUCAGAAACCUGAGCUUUCACCUUGGCAAGCUUGCUUAUCUCUUCAGGGUGGUCAACACAGUACUGCAUGUGCUCUUUAAGCUUGGACCUGAUAUGUUAGUAAAAGCUUCCCUGUUAUGUUUACUUAUAGAAGAUUAUACGGAUUGAUUGAACAAUUGAGUCAUCAUAAAAAGAGUACCCAAACUCGCGGGUGAGGCUGUUGGCUGCAGCAGUUGCAGCUUUUCCGCCUCCAUAUCUUUUGUUAAAAUCCUCCUUCACCCUCUCUAGAAAGGCAAUGGGAAUUUGCCUGCCAACUGACUCGACAGCAACAACACAAUAUGCUGGAAAAAUUGACUUCCGUUAAGCUCCAGGAUAGAACUUUUAAGAUUCUAAAGUAUUAGGUGUGGAAAAAGAUAAAAGUGCCCAUAAACAGAAACCUACAUGGUCUAGUUUUAUAAUCUAACAUUAUAUUUACCAGGAAAAUAAUCAUAAUGCCUGUAACAGAAUGCGCAUGGAGCAAACAAAUAGCAGUUUACCCUAGAUUUUAAACCUCAAAUCAUCAAUUCCCACAAAGGUGUCCAGUGUCCAUGCCUCCAUAACAAUAAAUCCAAUAAUAUUAACAAUAAACCAUACCUGGAUAUGCUAUUAUUUCUCACACAACAUAUUGGUCCUUGUUUCCAGAACCUCCACGAACAGGAAAUAUACACCAACCCUCCACAAUCCCAGUAGUAUAGAACAUAACGUCUAACAAACAAUAUGCAACUGUUUCUAACGGCCAAAACAGCAUCAUUCUUGAAUGCCUAACCUAUAUCCGAUGAAUCUGAUAAGGAUGGAAUAAAAAUAUAUGAGAGUCCACCAAAGAAACUAUUAUAAUUUAUCUAAAGAAUGUAACAGGUGAUAGAGGAUAAAUUUGUGAAUCAUCAAAACUUAAGUUGGCAAAGAAUAUCUCAGCCUGAUGGUAACAUUACCGGAGGGCUCACUAUUACUGGCAAGAGUAACACAGAAGCGCAAAGGUCAUUUAGACUUGCAACUAGGAAAAGGAGAAAAUUUCCACCUUCAAUGGCAGAUGAGAAUAUUUAUGCAUGGUUCAAACACGGGCAAAUGCAAACAUCAAUACAACCUUUAUAUCAUGCUUACUAAAUAAACAUACAGGCUGUCUAUUUAAUAUUAUUAUUACUCAAUUAACUCAUCAUAACGAGAAACAUGAAAAUUAUACAUAACUAGAGGUCAAGAAUAAGUUUUUGAAGCAGAAUGAUACCAAAUUAGAUGCUUCAACAUGGUAUAAAGAGCUAUAAGAAACACAUUUCUACUUUCAGAUAAACAUGAGGAAUGCAAUCGAGUCCAUCUUCUCUUAAUCGUCCAAAUUUCUACUGAAUUUUCUAAGUCUCCACUGAUUUCCUCUUCACUGAUGCUUCUGUGUACUUAGGAAUCUCAACAAAGGAAGAAAAAGAAAGACAAAUGACUAUCACAUGUUGAAUUGAACUUAUUGAUGCCGAUAGAACAUGUAGCAAAAGAACAUCCUAACUCAAGCCAACAUAUCAGAUCUGUAGAGGAACAAUCAUCUCCCACUCUAUUCGCUCUUUCCACUCAAAGCUAUCACCCCAUAUCGAUCGCAACCAGAACUUACAAGAAACCCAUCCUUCAAACGAGAACAAUCCACCUAACUGCUCCAGGAACAUCACGAUCCAUCAACAAAAUCAACCGAGAAUCAAACCCUAGCCUAACGAAAGACCCCAGAUUCGCCCUCAAAUCAAUCAGAACAACAACCGUCCAG
rnacentral:lncRNA from 1 species